AAUAGAGGGCAAGCGUUAUCCGGAUUCAUUGGGCGUAAAGAGCGCGUAGGCGGCUUGUUAAGUCAGAUGUGAAAACCGGGGGCUCAACCCGCGGCCUGCAUCUGAAACUGACAGGCUUGAGUCUGGUAGAGGAAAGUGGAAUUCCUGGUGUAGCGGUGAAAUGCGCAGAUAUCAGGAGGAACACCAGUGGCGAAGGCGGCUUUCUGGGCCACGACUGACGCUGAGGCGCGAAAGCUAGGGGAGC
rnacentral:rRNA from 1 species